rnacentral:lncRNA from 1 species
CAAAAUAUGCUCGAGGAGAUUGUCUGGCCGCAGUUGGGAGACGUUUGGCUGCAAUUUCAGAGAAAUUCAACAUCCCUGUUGAGUUUCAUUCUAUUCCAGUUUAUGCUCCAGAAGUCACAAGGGACAUGCUUGAUGUUCGACACGGAGAGGCACUGGCCGUGAAUUUCCCUUUGCAGCUCCACCACACUCCUGAUGAAAGCGUUGAUGUAUCCAAUCCGAGAGACAAACUUCUGAGGAUGGUGAAAUCACUCUCUCCCAAGGUGGUCACUCUAGUGGAGCAAGAAUCAAACACAAAUACUGCGCCUUUUGUUCCAAGGUUCAUUGAAACUUUAGAAUACUAUUUGGCUAUGUUCGAGUCAAUAGAUGUCACGAUGCCCAGAGACCGGAAGGAGCGCAUUAAUGUGGAGAAGCACUGUUUGGCUAGAGAUAUUGUGAACAUUAUAGCCUGCGAAGGCAAGGAGAGAGUGGAACGUCACGAGCUCCUUGGCAAGUGGAGAUUGAGG